GCGCGCGUGGCGGAACUGGUAGACGCGCUGGAUUUAGGUUCCAGUAUCGCAAGAUGUGGGGGUUCGAGUCCCUCCGCGCGCACCA
rnacentral:tRNA from 1 species